rnacentral:tRNA from 1 species
ACUUAAAUAAUUUAAUAAAAAUAUUGAUUUGUGGGGUCAAAUAUGUGGGUUAUUCCAUUUUAAGUU